CUCCAUUUUGACAUUUGUCAUCUUCCUGGAAGGCCACCGUCACGGCGGGCCCAGGAGGGGCAGGACUCAUGGUGAGAUGGGCCUGGAGCACUCUGACUCCCCUGGCCAGACAGGCUCCCCUGUAGCAGCCCCCACAGCCCCCAUUCCUCCUUUCUGCUGCCUUGAUGUCUCCGACAUCCCAUUUCGGCAGACCCUGCUGGGCUGAGGGGGUGCUUCUGCCUUAGAGGACACAGACGAGCAGGCCAGGGCCACAUGCUGACCAUGGCCCUUGUCCAGGCUUCCAGUGAGCUCUGCCUCCCCAGAUGCAGCCCAGGUUCCUGGACCCCCAGCACACAGGCCCCAGCAGCAGCAUCUUCUGCAUCAAGAAGCUCCAGUGUCUGUCUCCGGAGUGCCAGGGCCUUGGGGCACACGCUGGGGCUGCUCGCUGGUGUCCGAUCUCCGACAGCGACCGUCCACAUCCACAUCAGAUGCCCGUCCGGUGAAGAGGCUCCGCGAAACUCUGCUCCCAACAAGGUGAUGUGGUGUUCUGUGGGAGAGACUGCUAACUCAGAGCUGGGGCUGAAGUCCUUCCCUCUGGAGUCACCGUGCAGCCUGCGCGUGUCUGGCGCCUGCAGCCUUGUGCCUCGCAGGGGAUUCUGCCGUCUGUGCUUUCUCGGAGAUGAGGCCCCUCACUGUCACCCAGUGUCGUCCGUGAUGGGCACAGCAUCAGAUCCGGAGCGGGUGCAGGAUGCCGUGGAUCAGGGGCACGUGGCGGUUAGUGGGGGCACUCUGGACAAGUGACCUUCAGGACAAUAUGUUGGUGGAUCCUGGUUAAACAGAGGCAGCCCCCUUCAUGUGGCCAACAUCUGGGGCCUCACGGUGCUGGGGCUGCAGUGGUUCCUACCAGGACCCCGCCCACACGACGUCAGUGCACAGCUCUCCAGAAGGCUUCAGGGCCCUGGGGUCCACAGAACACCCUUCAGGAGAGGCUGGAGUCCGAGGUGGCGACAGGCAGUGGGGUCCAGCUCUGUUCCAGGACCCAGGAAAUGCUCUGUAGGCUCAGGAGUCCUGGAGGCCAGAGGCCCAAGACUCCUGUGGGGUCCACGGUCCCGCCCACCGUCCUGGCGAAGGUGACGGCCCGUACUGCCCGCUCAGACACCCUCCUCGUGUCCUCCUUUCUCCCCCUUGGAAGCCGCCCCAAGGGAGAUGACAUUCAGGACGGAGGAGAAAGAAUUCGUGAAGGCCAGCGGCAGCCCUUCGGGUGGGAGCGCAGAAUAACACACAUCGACCCUCGACGGCUCAGAGUAAACCGCUGGGAGUCCUGACGUCGGGGAGGCUGCACAGAUGGUAGGGUCAGGGACCUCGAGUGGCUGGAGGCGCACGGGAGAGAGGCCUUCCCAGGACAGGGAAGGAAGGGAAGGCUGGGGUCCAGCGGGGGGGGCAUCCGCCCCUGCACUGUGCCCCCCGAGCUUGGCGGGGGUGUCUCUGCAGGGUCUCAGCCCCCAAGCUUACAAAUCCUCCGCCCGAGCUCAGAGGGGCCCCUGCCUGCCGCUCCCCUCAGAGGACGGCGCCCCUGAAGUCAGGAGUCCUCCGACCAGGUGCUUGCGGGAGGCUGCUCCUCCAAGCAGAGGAAAGCGAAGGACACCGCCAUUGAAAUGGCAUCCCAGAAGCUCACACCGGCCCAGAAGGACACCUUCCGCACCGGCCUCUGCCCUGCCUUCUCAGAGCCUCAUUCGUCUUUCAACACCUCACCCCAGACCCUGGGGCCCAUCCCCCAGCCCGCAGCCUGUGCGUGUUUCCAUAGCAACCUGCCCCUGCUGCUGUGGUGACAUCCCAGCGAUGUGAGCUCUUUGAAGGCCGCCCGACCUGGAUCGCUCCGCAGAGUGGGGAGGAGGGGUGCCCGAUGACACUGAGCACAGCCUCCCUUGGGGGCAGGCGGUGAGUGCAGGCUGUGCCUGCUAUCAGCUGCUGUGCCUCGAGCCCUUGACCUCGUUCGAGGACGUCUCGAAGAUGGGGAAACUGAGGCCCAGAGAGAGGGAACCUCCCUUUUCAGUUACAGUAAGAGAAGAGGUCAUGCUGACUGGUGACAACCAGCCCCCCGUCUGGGACACCCCAGAGGAGAAGAGUCGCCACUGAGAAGCGUCCCCUCUGGGUGUGUCCCUGGGGGAUGAAGGCCAGCUGCCCUCCCUCCGGUGGAGCACCAGAGGGCGCUUCCCUCCCCCUUCUCACCCAGAGCCCCCUGGUCUCAAGGCCAGAGCAGGCGAGUUAUCUGCUCCCUCCUGCUGCGCUGAGCCUGGGGGAGGCUGACUGCACAUGGGGAGGGGGACGGCUUCUCACCUCAGCCCAGCGGUCCCAGUGCUGGCGACGUUUCUGGAGCAGCUGAGUUUCUGUCUGGCUGGUGAUCCUCUCUUACAGCAAAGCCGUCGGUACCCCAGCGCGCGCCUGGGGAAUAUCUAGGGCAUCGCAGAGAGGCUGAGCGCGGAGGAGCAAAUGUCAGCAAAGGGUCAGGCGGGGGCCUGGGAGUCACAGCUCCGGGGUCCUGGAUGGAACGCCUCCCAAGCAGAGGAGAGGGUAGAGGGGGCUCCACGGGAGGAGGGCUGACCUGGAAAGCUCCCCCAUGGGGGAGGCCGGCUCUCCACUGAGACCCCAGGAUGCCCUGUGUCCUCUCCUCCCUCAGCUGCUGACUUGGCUCAGACUGCACGCCACUGAAGCAGAAGUCAGUUUCAAGUUGAGGAGGAAGAUGGAUUUUCCCAGAGGCUCUUGGCCUCCUCCCUGGAAAGAGGCAGCUGCGGAUGCGGGUAACUCCUGAGGAGCCCCGAGGUUCCACCCCCUGGCUGCUGGCGGGAGAUGCUGACCGGGCCAUCCCAAGACCCGCCAGCUCCAAGCCCCACGGAGCCAGGAGAGCUGGCGGCCCCACAGCACCAGGUGCCAGGAAUCACUGGGGUGACUCCAGGCCUGGAGCCCAGGGGCAGUUUGGUGCUGUGGUCACCACAGGACAGUGGACGCACUGAUGGGUUGCGGAUCCUGACUCCUCCAUUUGACCUGUAAAAUGGGGUUCCAGCACCCCCAGUUCUUCACGGCUGCCCAGGUCCGUGCCCUUGUCCUGGGGAGCUUAUGUUGGACAGAGUCGGUGUGCCUUUGGAAGGAAAGAUGAAUAAACCAGAGACUAGGGACCCUCCUGGUCUUAUCAGGACAGUAGGGCUGCCCUCCUGAGACUAGGGCUCCCGCCGGGCCUGAGCUCAGGCCCACCUUCCGGCCCCAAGCGGCAUCACAGCAAGGGGGGUGGGUGGGACCAGGAAACCCCCUUCUGCCCACUCUGCUCCCAGGAAAGGCAAUCCCCACCCUGAGGGGCUCCAGGAGCCCAGAGACCCUGUGUCCUGAGCCCCAGCUCCACCCUGUGUGGGCAGGCGCACUUGUUCACUGUGGCUGGACCCCUGUCCCUGUCACUGCAUGGAGGUGUCACCCAGGCCUGGCCCCUCCCAAAGGGACAGUCCACUCUGCCCUUGACCCAGCCCCCUCCCUUCAAGUGAGGGUCCUGUGGCCAAAGGCACCCCUUCUCCCCGGCCCCAGCUGCCCAGGAUGGCCAGGCGCCCUCCCUCCCAGCCCCAGCGAGGGGUGGGUGACAGGAAGGACUUACAGCUGAUGCCCUUCUUGCCGUGACACACCUCCGGUUUCCACAUCACUGGCCCGUCAGUACCGGCAGGACUAUCUGACAAACAGAGGCCUCUCUCCACCGAAUUUUUUAAAAGGCAUAUAAAAUAUUUACCUGAUCAUUUUUGCUACCUGAAGAAAAUAAUUUGCUUUCCGUCCUCAGGAGCCACGACCCCCUCAGCUCUGGGAAGUGAUGGCCAGCCCCCCGCAAUUCCCUGAUGGCACACAGGGUGGGGUCUGACCACAGACCAUGGGAACUUUAUUUUCCAAGAUGUCAGCCUGGCUGGGGCCCCUGCCUGGGUGCCCACCCACGUGGGUGGGUUUUCACUGCCUGGUCUGCCUCAUGCUUUUUACUGUGUUUUACUUCCUUAUUGGUGAAAUGAUUAAAGAUUUGUUUGAUGUUUUUAAAGUAAAAC
rnacentral:lncRNA from 1 species